AUGCUUAAUCUUCAUAAAAUCGGGCCCAAUGCAUGGCAAUCUCGGCCCAUGAUCCUUCUUCGAUUGUUAGGGAGAUGCUGGUUUUGCGGAUUCGAAGCAACUGAAGUGAUGAAAGGAUAUUGUGCGUUCAUGUUGUUGUUGCGGAUGUGGAAUUACAGAUUUGAGAAGUCUUGCCUAUUUGCGAUGCAGAAAGUUUCAGAUGAAGGUGGUAUUGAAGGUUCCAAGAAGAUGAAGGUGAAGCCAGUUCCGGGAGAAAGAUUGAAGAGGGAUAAUGAAGAUUGA